CCUACGGGUGACAGCAGUGGGGAAUAUUGCGCAAUGGGCGAAAGCCUGACGCAGCGACGCCGCGUGAGGGAUGAAGGUCUUCGGAUCGUAAACCUCUGUCAGCAGGGAAGAAAGGUCACUGUGCUAAUCAGCAGUGAAUUGACGGUACCUGCAAAGGAAGCACCGGCUAACUCCGUGCCAGCAGCCGCGGUAAUCCGGAGGGUGCGAGCGUUAAUCGGAAUUAAUGGGCGUAAAGCGCUCGUAGGCGGCAUGUCAAGUCCAGGGUGAAAUCCCCGCGCUCAACGUGGGAACUGCCUUUGAAACUGGCAAACUGGAGUGUGUGAGAGGAUAGUGGAAGUCCAGGUGUAGGAGUGAAAUCCGUAGAUAUCUGGAGGAACAUCAGUGGCGAAGGCGACUAUCUGGCACAUAACUGACGCUGAGGAGCGAAAGCGUGGGUAGCAAACAGGAUUAGAUACCCGAGUAGUC
rnacentral:rRNA from 1 species